rnacentral:tRNA from 1 species
GUUUCAGUAGUUUAUUUAAAACAUUGGUCUUGUAAACCAAAACAGGGCUCAUCCGCCCCUAAAACUCCCCC